GACAGAGGGUGCAAACGUUGUUCGGAAUUACUGGGCGUAAAGCGUGCGCAGGCGGUUGUGCAAGACAGAUGUGAAAUCCCCGGGCUUAACCUGGGAACUGCAUUUGUGACUGCACGGCUAGAGUGUGUCAGAGGGGGGUAGAAUUCCACGUGUAGCAGUGAAAUGCGUAGAUAUGUGGAGGAAUACCGAUGGCGAAGGCAGCCCCCUGGGAUAACACUGACGCUCAUGCACGAAAGCGUGGGGAGCAAACAGG
rnacentral:rRNA from 1 species